AUGCGAUCCAAAUAUCUAAAACAUGUAGUAAAACCUCACCCGUGAGGCGACAUGAAAAAAAGAAAAGGGAAAAAAAAUCCUCCCAAAAGAUAACUGCAAAAGAAACGAGACUAUGUGCUGACCUUCUUGCCAAUAAGGCACUAGCCAGGUCGCUCCUGCCGUGUCAUCCUAUACCAAUUGGCAUAUGGCUAGACUAGGCUACAAGAGUUGAGCCAUCUUAGAGGGGGAGGGGGGGACGGCAAUAGUCCUUCUAGUUGAAAACAAUGGCACUUGUUGAUGGAGCUAUAGUUCCUCAAGGAUAAAUACUAGGCUAUAUUUUUUUUUUUUUCUUGCGAAGGAUAAAUAUUAGGCUAUAUACCCAUAUAGCUUUAUUACUUAUGUCACAUCUCUCUAUCAACUACCAAGUUACCAAACUCUAUUACUUCCCUUAAGCAUGCCAACAACAUCUUUGUACAUCCCCAGUGUAAUGCCAAAAGUGGGAUUCGAAAUAAAAAAAAGGCUAUAUUCUCUCAAUUGCUAUAUCUGUUACGGGCUGCCUUCAUUGUGCCUUGGCGCCCGUAACCUCGCGCGCCCCGAGCGGGCCAAACGAGUGUCAGCCGCACAGGCAGUGCCACCCCGCAGGCAGUGUCAGCCGUGCGGGCGACGUGCACCAACAUGGGUUCCGACGGACGGGAGUCCACAAUCAUCUUAGAUAUGCUCCAUUGCAUAUCCUAAGAGUAGCAAGGAAGUUUAGCAAGGAUCUGAGAUGAGCCCACGGGUCGUCGACGCACGAGCGGCCCGUGCGAGCCUGAGUGUCAGUCCCGAGCGUUUCCGAGCUAUGGAUGGAAUCUUGGGAUUUCGGGUGAACACACCCUUCCUAGGAUGUUAUUGAAUGUGCUUACCAAGUUUGGCGUCACUUGAACAUCAUUUACCUAAGG